CACGUAGGGCGCAAGCGUUGUCCGGAAUUAUUGGGCGUAAAGAGCUCGUAGGCGGUCUGUUACGUCUGCUGUGAAAACCCGCGGCUCAACCGUGUGGCUUGCAGUCGAUACGGGCAGGCUAGAGUUCGGUAGGGGAGACUGGAAUUCCUGGUGUAGCGGUGAAAUGCGCAGAUAUCAGGAGGAACACCGGUGGCGAAGGCGGGUCUCUGGGCCGAUACUGACGCUGAGGAGCGAAAGCGUGGGGAGCGAACAGG
rnacentral:rRNA from 1 species